rnacentral:misc_RNA from 1 species
CAACCCUCAAGUCCCCUGUGGACUCGGUGUUGGGGACCGGCGAGACAGCCGCGGAUCUUCUUCCGCAGCGAGUCGCCGCCCCCCAAAUGACUUGGCGGCCUCGUCGCGGCCCUCCUCUGCGUAGUAUAGCACACCUCGCAACAGGAGCCCGGCGAAUGGCCACUGCCGUAAAACCCCCCAACUUUUUAG